rnacentral:rRNA from 1 species
UACGGGGGGAGCAAGCGUUGUUCGGAUUUACUGGGCGUAAAGGGCGCGUAGGCGGCACCGCAAGUCGACUGUGAAAUCUCCGGGCUUAACCCGGAAAGGUCAGCCGAUACUGCGGGGCUAGAGUGCAGAAGGGGCAACUGGAAUUCUCGGUGUAGCGGUGAAAUGCGUAGAUAUCGAGAGGAACACCUGCGGCGAAGGCGGGUUGCUGGGCUGACACUGACACUGAGAGACGAAAGCUAGGGGAGCGAAUGGG